rnacentral:rRNA from 1 species
UACGGAGGGUGCAAGCGUUAUCCGGAUUCACUGGGUUUAAAGGGUGCGUAGGUGGGUUGGUAAGUCAGUGGUGAAAUCCCCGAGCUUAACUUGGGAACUGCCAUUGAUACUAUCAGUCUUGAAUACCGUGGAGGUUAGCGGAAUAUGUCAUGUAGCGGUGAAAUGCUUAGAUAUGACAUAGAACACCAAUUGCGAAGGCAGCUGGCUACACGAAUAUUGACACUGAGGCACGAAAGCCGUGGGGAUCAAACAGG